rnacentral:rRNA from 1 species
GUAAAUGACCAAGGGCGUAUGGUGGAUGCCUUGGCUCUCAGAGGCGAUGAAGGACGUGAUAAGCUGCGAUAAGCCGCGUAGAGGUGCAAAUGACCUUUGACGCGCGGAUUUCCGAAUGGGACAACCCAAUACAUUGAAGAUGUAUUAUACCGUAAGGUAGGCAAACGCAGGGAACUGAAACAUCUAAGUACCUGCAGGAGAAGAAAACAAAACGUGAUUCCCCCAGUAGCGGCGAGCGACCGGGGAGCAGCCCAAACCGGCGGUGUUUCGGCACCGUCGGGGUAAUAGGACCGAGCGAUUGCCAGGUCGGACGAAGUGGAACGCUUUGGAAAAAGCGGCGAUAGAGGGUGACAGCCCCGUACACGCAAGUCCGUGCGGCAUAUCGGAAUCCUGAGUAAGUCGGGACACGAGGAAUCCUGACCGAAUUGACCGGGACCAUCCGGUAAGGCUAAAUACUCCUGAGAGACCGAUAGCGAACAAGUACUGUGAAGGAAAGGUGAAAAGCACUUCGAACAGAAGAGUGAAAUAGUCCCUGAACCCAUACGCCUACAAGCUGUCGGAGCCCCUUCGUGGGGUGACGGCGUGCCUUUUGCAUAAUGAGCCUACGAGUUACUCGUCACUGGCGAGGUUAAGCACUUCAGGUGCGUGAGCCGAAGCGAAAGCGAGUCUUAAUAGGGCGCGAAGUCAGUGGCGGUAGACGCGAAACCUUAGUGAUCUACCCAUGAGCAGGCUGAAGGUUUGGUAACACAAACUGGAGGGCCGAACCGGUAAACGUUGAAAAGUUUUCGGAUGACUUGUGGGUAGGGGUGAAAGGCCAAUCAAACUGGGAAAUAGCUCGUACUCUCCGAAAUGCAUUUAGGUGCAGCCUCUGUUGUUUUGUGUUCGAGGUAGAGCUACUGAUUGGAUGCGAGGGCUUCACCGCCUAUCAAAUCCGGCCAAACUCCGAAUGCGAAUACAUGAAGACAGGGAGUGAGCCCGUGGGUGCUAAGGUCCACGGACGAAAGAGGAAGAACUCAGACCAUCAGCUAAGGUCCCCAAUUGCAUGCUAAGUUGUAAAAACGCGGUGGGACUGCUUGGACAGCUAGGAUGUUGGCUUGGAAGCAGCCAUUCAUUUAAAGAGUGCGUAACAGCUCACUAGUCGAGCGGUCCUGCAUGGAUAAUACGCGGGCAUAAGCAUGCAACCGAAGCUAUGGGAUGUGCCUUAUGGGCACAUCGGUAGGAGAGCAUUCCAUUCUGCUUUGAAGCGGUACCGUGAGGUAUGGUGGAGCGUAUGGAAAAGCAAAUGUAGGCAUAAGUAACGAUAAUGGAGGUGAGAACCCUCCACGCCGAAAGAUCAAGGAUUCCCCGGCAAUGUCAAUCACCCGGGGGUAAGUCGGCUCCUAAGGUCCAGCCGAACGGCGACACCGAUGGGAAACAGGUUAAUAUUCCUGUACUGAUCGAUACUGCGACGCAGUGACGUAGAGAUGACACUACUGCCACCUGACGGAAUAGGUGGUUGAAGCCCGUACCCAUUGAAGGAUAUAGUGAAGCACGUAUCCCGAGGCGAAAGGCGAUAGUAUCGCAAGGCUCCGGCCGCGCGAAUAAUGUAGGUAAUUUGACUACCGAGAAAACCUGCUAAGCUUCAGGUGUCGAUCAUCCGUACUGUAAACGGACACACGUGAUCGGGUAGAAAAUACUGAGGCGCUCGAGAUAUUCAUGGUUAAGGAACUAGGCAAAAUGGCCCUGUAACUUCGGGAUAAAGGGCGCUCUAGCAAUAGAGCCGCAGAUAAUAGGCCCAGGCGACUGUUUACCAAAAACACAUGGCUAUGCCAAAUCGCAAGAUGACGUAUAUGGCCUGACACCUGCCCGGUGCUGGAAGGUUAAGAGGAGAGCUCAGUAGCGAUACGAAGGUUUGAAUUGAAGCCCCAGUAAACGGCGGCCGUAACUAUAACGGUCCUAAGGUAGCGAAAUUCCUUGUCGGGUAAGUUCCGACCUGCACG